rnacentral:tRNA from 1 species
UGGGGAUUCGCCAAGCGGUAAGGCACCGGACUUUGACUCCGUUAUGCAUAGGUUCAAAUCCUAUAUCCCCAGCCA